CGGCGCACGGGUGCGUAACGCGUAUACAAUCUACCUUGUACUGAGGGAUAGCCUUUGGAAACGAAGAUUAAGACCUCAUAGUAUAUAGAUCUGGCAUCAGGACUAUAUUAAAGGUUACGGUACAAGAUGAGUAUGCGUCCUAUUAGCUAGAUGGUGUGGUAACGGCACACCAUGGCAACGAUAGGUAGGGGCCCUGAGAGGGGGAUCCCCCACACUGGUACUGAGACACGGACCAGACUCCUACGGGAGGCAGCAGUGAGGAAUAUUGGGCAAUGGAGGCAACUCUGACCCAGCCAUGCCGCGUGCAGGAAGACUGCCCUAUGGGUUGUAAACUGCUUUUAUACAGGAAGAAACCGCUCUACGUGUAGAGCCUUGACGGUACUGUAAGAAUAAGGAUCGGCUAACUCCGUGCCAGCAGCCGCGGUAAUACGGAGGAUCCAAGCGUUAUCCGGAAUCAUUGGGUUUAAAGGGUCCGUAGGUGGAUUAAUAAGUCAGAGGUGAAAUCCUGCAGCUCAACUGUAGAACUGCCUUUGAUACUGUUAAUCUUGAGUCAUUAUGAAGUGGUUAGAAUGUAUAGUGUAGCGGUGAAAUGCAUAGAUAUUACACAGAAUACCGAUUGCGAAGGCAGAUCACUAAUAAUGUACUGACACUGAGGGACGAAAGCGUGGGGAGCGAACAGGAUUAGAUACCCUGGUAGUCCACGCCGUAAACGAUGGUCACUAGCUGUUCGGACUUCG
rnacentral:rRNA from 1 species